CAGUCGCCGCGGUAAUACGUAGGUGGCAAGCGUUGUCCGGAAUUAAUGGGCGUAAAGGGCUCGCAGGCGGUUUCUUAAGUCUGAUGUGAAAGCCCCCGGCUCAACCGGGGAGGGUCAUUGGAAACUGGGAAACUUGAGUGCAGAAGAGGAGAGUGGAAUUCCACGUGUAGCGGUGAAAUGCGUAGAGAUGUGGAGGAACACCAGUGGCGAAGGCGACUCUCUGGUCUGUAACUGACGCUGAGGAGCGAAAGCGUGGGGAGCGAACAGGAUUAGAUACCCGCGUAGUCCCUGUCUCUUAUAC
rnacentral:rRNA from 1 species